rnacentral:rRNA from 1 species
GGUUGCGGACAGUGUCUGGUGGGUAGUUUGACUGGGGCGGUCUCCUCCUAAAGAGUAACGGAGGAGCACGAAGGUUGGCUAAUCCUGGUCGGACAUCAGGAGGUUAGUGCAAUGGCAUAAGCCAGCUUGACUGCGAGCGUGACGGCGCGAGCAGGUGCGAAAGCAGGUCAUAGUGAUCCGGUGGUUCUGAAUGGAAGGGCCAUCGCUCAACGGAUAAAAGGUACUCCGGGGAUAACAGGCUGAUACCGCCCAAGAGUUCAUAUCGACGGCGGUGUUUGGCACCUCGAUGUCGGCUCAUCACAUCCUGGGGCUGAAGUAGGUCCCAAGGGUAUGGCUGUUCGCCAUUUAAAGUGGUACGCGAGCUGGGUUUAGAACGUCGUGAGACAGUUCGGUCCCUAUCUGCCGUGGGCGCUGGAGAACUGAGGGGGGCUGCUCCUAGUACGAGAGGACCGGAGUGGACGCAUCACUGGUGUUCGGGUUGUCAUGCCAAUGGCACUGCCCGGUAGCUAAAUGCGGAAGAGAUAAGUGCUGAAAGCAUCUAAGCACGAAACUUGCCCCGAGAUGAGUUCUCCCUGACUCCUUGAGAGUCCUGAAGGAACGUUGAAGACGACGACGUUGAUAGGCCGGGUGUGUAAGCGCAGCGAUGCGUUGAGCUAACCGGUACUAAUGAACCGUGAGGCUUAACCUUACAACGCCGAAGGUGUUU